rnacentral:rRNA from 1 species
CAGCCGCCGCGGUAAUACGGAGGAUCCAAGCGUUAUCCGGAUUUAUUGGGUUUAAAGGGUGCGUAGGCGGCUUAUUAAGUCAGGGGUGAAAGACGGUGGCUCAACCAUCGCAGUGCCUUUGAUACUGAUGAGCUUGAAUAUACUAGAGGUAGGCGGAAUGUGACAAGUAGCGGUGAAAUGCAUAGAUAUGUCACAGAACACCGAUUGCGAAGGCAGCUUACUAUGGUAUUAUUGACGCUGAGGCACGAAAGCGUGGGGAUCAAACAGGAUUAGAUACCCUGGUAGUCCACGCCCUAAACGAUGAAUACUCGCUGUUAGCGAUAUACAAUUAGCGGCUAAGCGAAAGCGUUAAGUAUUCCACCUGGGGGAGUACGCUCGCAAGAGUGAAACUCAAAGGAAUUGACGG